rnacentral:tRNA from 1 species
GCCCCUAUAGCUCAGCAGGUAGAGCAGCUGUUUUGUAAACAGCAUGUCGCUGGUUCGAUUCCGGCUGGGGGCUCCA